rnacentral:rRNA from 1 species
CAGGACGAACGCUGGCGGCGUGCUUAACACAUGCAAGUCGAGCGGAGAAUAUAGCAAUAUAUCCUUAGCGGCGGACGGGUGAGUAACGCGUGGGUAACCUGCCUUUUUACUGGGGGAUAACACUGGGAAACUAGUGCUAAUACCGCAUAAAAUAGUGAAGUGGCAUCACUUUACUAUCAAAAGGAGCAAUCCGGUAAAAGAUGGACCCGCGUCCGAUUAGCUAGUUGGAGGGGUAACGGCCCACCAAGGCGACGAUCGGUAGCCGAACUGAGAGGUUGAUCGGCCACAUUGGGACUGAGACACGGCCCAGACUCCUACGGGAGGCAGCAGUGGGGAAUAUUGCGCAAUGGGGGGAAACCCUGACGCAGCAACGCCGCGUGAAGGAUGAAGGUUUUCGGAUUGUAAACUUCUUUGAUUGGGGACGAUAAUGACGGUACCCAAAAAACAAGCCACGGCUAACUACGUGCCAGCAGCUGC